rnacentral:lncRNA from 1 species
AUCUGUCUGGGCAAGAGCUGCUCAAGCCACACCUUGUGACACUGAGGGUCUCACUGUGUCACCCAGGCUGGAGUGCAGUGGUGUGAACAUAGCUCACUGCAGCCUCGGACUCCUGACCUCAAGCAAUCCUCCCGCCUUAGCCUUCCAGGUGCUUGAGAUGAGAAACAGACUUUUUUUCCUUUGAGAAUUCAUUAUUUCUCCCCUUGGGCUGUUUGUUCAAACCCACACAGGAGCAGGAACAUUGCUUUCGAUUGCCAAAGAAAUGACAUAAUGAUGCCAAUGAUUAAAAUGUCAAGAACACAGUGUCUUGGGCUGAGAUGGUAAAGGCAGCAUUCAGGCAGUGAUGAUCUGGGGUGAUAGGAGUGGCUGUGGGGAGACGGAGGCCUCCCUUCUUGUAGGAUGGGACUCGGUCUUUCCUCUGCCUCAUUGCUAUUAUUGUCUUGUUUUAUUUUUGCUUUUGUUUGUUUGGGUAGGUGAAAAGGCAGGUCGGGUGAAGAAGAGCAGGAUGUUUCAUUUUUAUCAAGCAUCACCUGAUUCAAAAUGUAGCCACUGAAAAGAAGCCAUCGUUUUUGGCCUGCGUCUCUGAGGAUAAGAUAGUGCGUGGGUGAUGGAUGCAGCCCAGGUGGGAGCUGUCUGCAAAUAACCCAGCUGCUUCCUGUGGCCCUGGUCAUCCUGCUGCCCUCAGCUUCUCCCACGGAGGCCACCUGCCCCCCUAACACUGAGCUGCUCACCUAGUCCAGCCACCAGCGACGGCCCCUGGCCUUUGACGUGUCUGUUCUCUCCUCUCUCACUCCACCACCACUAGCUUCCAGGGAUCUCCAGCCUGUAUAGAAACUUCUCACUACGCUCUGCUCUCGCCCUUUUAGCAGUCUCCUUAUGCUGCUGACUCCACCUCCCAGGCAAAUCAUUCUAAUUUAAUUCUUUACAAGUAUUCUCCCUCCUGGAGUGCUGGGCUCCACCACGGGGGCAAUCAAGGCACAUCACCCACAGCUUUCCAGACACCCACAGCCUUCCUGUCCUGCUGUGAGCGUGGCUCCUUCAGCCUUCUUCCUUCUUCGCCUGUGGGGAGUCAGACAUUCGCCAACCUCGUGCUCAAUCCCUGCCUCUGUCCAGGCCUGCUAAGCCCAUAAGACAUAUCUGCAUGUGUCAGAAUAUGUGCAAGCUUUCGACAGGAUCCCCGUUUCUCCCCAUGGAGCUUUUGGCAAAUGAAGGGUGUGGUUCAGCAGCUGGUCUGAUGUCCCUUAAGCUCCCCCACACCAGCACACCAGGACUGUCUCUGUCUCCACAUUCCAGCAUAUCUGGGUCUCAGCUUUGACACAAUCAGACACUGUUGCUGAAGUUUUUAUGUUUAUAUGACAGAAGAAACUGUCACCCCUCCCCUGCCCCCCGCCCCCACCCACCUGUUAUAAGAAAGAGCUCCAAGGUCUUGAGACCACACGCAGGGGAUGGGAAAGCUGACAUUAAAGGGGAAUGAGGUCUUUCUGUGAUUCCAGCAGCCUCAGGAGGACAACGUCAGAAACCAAAAGCUCCUCUGCCCAGGGAUGGGGACCCGCCGACUUCAAGGGCAGAACAGGUGCCUGGCUAGUGGGGGAGUUCCCCAAUGUGGAUUUAAACUGUAGUGUCUUCAGAGAACAUAACCAACAUUUGUCUUUAGGAGAUGUGUUUGUUUGAGUAGAUCAGCUAUGAAAAUACCCAGCCGGCCUGCAGCCCUCCCGGCAGAUGCUGAAAAGGAAACCCGACUGGGAGAUGCCGCCCACCCUUAUCCCCAGAGAGCUGCGUUGUUUCCUCUUGCCUUGGCCUUUGGAUCCGGCCAUAGCAAGCAUCCCUGGGCACCUGGCUGAAGCUGGAAACUCGGGAUAAGAAUGGAAGCCCUGGAAGGGAAGAAGAACCGAGGAGUGAGCUUGCCCUGAGGACAGCACAUUGCACUCUCACCUCCUUUGCAGUUAAGUGUGAAAUAGUGCCAAUAGAGUGUAAAAGAAAAGAAAGAAGAUGAUUCACCUCCCAAAGAUUCCCCACUGCUGUGUCCCUUCUAUCAACUUGAUACAAAAAAACACAAUGGCCCCGGGAACCACGUGUUGAAGAUGAGAGAGCUAAAAGAUGGAAAGAGACUGGAGCCCUGAGUCACCACCUGGAGGAAAACUACCCACCCAUCAGGAAUUUCUACUACACAUUUGGGAGUUUUUGGGGUUACAGCAGCUAAUUUAACGAAAACACCCAGAGACAAGAGCUAUUACUGCACAAAUUGGUUAAGUUACCUUUUUGUAUGUUUGGGUCCUCUCUAUUCGAUGAGACUGCGCGUUCCUUUGAAGCAAAUCUGUUUAAAAUUCUUAUAUCCCCAGAGGGCCUAGCAGAGAGUAUGCACAGAGUGAGCCUUCAGUAAAUGCUGAGUAAAUAAGCUCCUAAUGGAUGAAACUGUGUCUUCGAAGUUUGUUCUGACCAGUACUUAGUAUAGGAUUUUGUGCUGUUGGUCACUUUUCAUAAAGGUUCUUGCUAUUAAGGAACUUGACAUCCAAUGUACUCAUAGAAAGUAGAAAUUCAGGGGAAACAAAUAGAAGAGAUAUGUCCAAAAAUCCAUUUAAAAUUUCAUUGACAGAUAUUUAUCUCUUUAAUCCUGGAAGUUGUUUCAUGUAAGGGAAGGUUCAGUAGAAUGAAAACAGGACUGUAAGCUGGGAGGAGAUUUGGGGUCUCUUGGCCAACUCUGCCACAAAUUGUGUUACCUUCAACUUCCCUGCCUGUAAAAUGAAGUCAGUGGUCCCUAAAAUGAAAUUGGACUAAUGGCAAAUUAGCUAGCAUUUGAUUAUACAUCGAUAGUUUCCCCAUGUGAUUUUAACGCACAAAUCAGAUUUUGGAACCAUUAGGUAGGUGAUCUUAUCUUAUGAGUUUAUCUUUUUCAACAUGGAAAAAUAAAUUUGUUUUGCUGACCGAAGGCUGUGUAACUUAGAACUGGAAAGAGACAUGUAAUUGAAUAACCCAUCUCUAUGGGGCAAAAAAAUGAAACACCUUUAGUUUGUUCAAAGAUGAAAUGGAAAAAUAAACAUGUUUUAAGAUG